AGGGUUUGAUCAUGGCUCAGGAUGAACGCUAGCGGCAGGCCUAACACAUGCAAGUCGAGGGGUAGAGUACUUCGGUACUUGAGACCGGCGCACGGGUGCGUAACGCGUAUGCAAUCUACCUUGUACAAGGGGAUAGCCCGGAGAAAUUCGGAUUAAUACCCUAUAGUAUAGCGAAAUGGCAUCAUUUUGUUAUUAAAGUUCCAACGGUACAAGAUGAGCAUGCGUCCCAUUAGUUAGUUGGUGUGGUAACGGCAUACCAAGACGAUGAUGGGUAGGGGUCCUGAGAGGGAGAUCCCCCACACUGGUACUGAGACACGGACCAGACUCCUACGGGAGGCAGCAGUGAGGAAUAUUGGUCAAUGGACGCAAGUCUGAACCAGCCAUGCCGCGUGCAGGAAGAAGGUUCUAUGGAUUGUAAACUGCUUUUAUACGGGAAGAAAAACAGAUACGUGUAUCUGACUGACUGUACUGUAAGAAUAAGGAUCGGCUAACUCUGUGCCAGCCGCCGCGGUAAUAC
rnacentral:rRNA from 1 species